UUUAAUAGGUGACGUUCCUCUCGCGCUUCCUUGAAAUUUCACCAAUCCUCUCAUGCCCACACACCAGCCCCAUCAUUUUCAAAGCAUGCCUUGCACUAAUUCCACCCUCAUCCACCCCCUUAACCCAGAUUAACGUAGAUGGCUCAUUCCUUUUCACAUUAAUUUUAGAUUUAUUUGUGAUUAAAUUACUGGGUGACCAUCAAAUCUUCCUUCCUUGCCUUCUCUCUCUUCCUGACCAACAUCCUCAAUCCCUUACAAAAUUUCAAGGGGUGCCUUGGCCUGUUUGUCCCACUCGGCUCGUCGUCCACCUUUUUCUCCUUCGCUCGUCUCCUGUUUGAAUCACUUUUAAUUAUUAUUUUUUUAAUAGGUGACGUUCCUCUGGCCCUUCUUUGGUCUUUCAGCAAGCCAUGCAAGCCCACCGAGCAGCAACAUCAUUUGCAAAGCGUGCCUCACUUUCAAUCCACCCUCAACAACCCACGCACAUCGAGUAAAGCAGCUGGCUUAAUAUUUUUGUGACGUUCCUCUGGCCCUUCUUUGGUCUUUCAGCAAGCCAUGCAAGCCCACCGAGCAGCAACAUCAUUUGCAAAGCGUGCCUCACUUUCAAUCCACCCUCAACAACCCACGCACAUCGAGUAAAGCAGCCGGCUUAAUAUUUUUGUGACGUCCCUCUGGCCCUUCUUUGGUCUUUCAGCAAGCCAUGCAAGCCCACCGAGCAGCAACAUCAUUUGCAAAGCGUGCCUCACUUUCAAUCCACCCUCAACAACCCACGCACAUCGAGUAAAGCAGCCGGCUUAAUAU